rnacentral:rRNA from 1 species
CGCUGGCGGCGUGCCUAAUACAUGCAAGUCGAGCGAACCACUUCGGUGGUGAGCGGCGAACGGGUGAGUAACACGUAGGUGAUCUGCCCAUCAGACGGGGACAACGAUUGGAAACGAUCGCUAAUACCGGAUAGGACGAAAGUUUAAAGGUGCUUCGGCACCACUGAUGGAUGAGCCUGCGGCGCAUUAGCUAGUUGGUAGGGUAAAGGCCUUCCAAGGCGACGAUGCGUAGCCGACCUGAGAGGGUGAACGGCCACACUGGGACUGAGACACGGCCCAGACUCCUACGGGAGGCAGCAGUAGGGAAUCUUCGGCAAUGGGCGAAAGCCUGACCGAGCAACGCCGCGUGAAUGAUGAAGGCCUUCGGGUUGUAAAAUUCUGUUAUAAGGGAAGAAUGACUCUAGUAGGAAAUGGCUAGAGUGUGACGGUACCUUAUGAGAAAGCCACGGCUAACUACGUG